AACGAACGCUGGCGGCAGGCCUAACACAUGCAAGUCAAACGGCCCUUCGGGGCAGUGGCGCACGGGUGCGUAACGCGUGGGAAUGUACACCUUGGUAAGGAAUAACUGCUGGAAACGGUAGCUAAUACCUUAUAAUGACUCCGGUCCAAAGAUUUAUCGCCAAGGGAUCAGCCCGCGUCAGAUUAGAUAGUUGGUGGGGUAAUGGCCUACCAAGUCUACGAUCUGUAGGGGGUCUGAGAGGAUGAUCCCCCACACUGGUACUGAGACACGGACCAGACUCCUACGGGAGGCAGCAGUGAGGAAUAUUAGACAAUGGGCGAAAGCCUGAUCUAGCCAUGCCGCGUGAGUGAAGAAGGCCUUAGGGUUGUAAAGCUCUUUCAAUAGUGAAGAUAAUGACGGUAGCUAUAGAAGAAGCUCCGGCUAAAUUCGUG
rnacentral:rRNA from 1 species